rnacentral:rRNA from 1 species
UGCGUAGGCGGGCUAAUAAGUCAGUGGUGAAAUCUUCCGGCUCAACCGGGAACCUGCCAUUGAUACUGUUAGUCUUGAGUACGGCUGAGGUAGGCGGAAUGUGUAAUGUAGCGGUGAAAUGCUUAGAUAUUACACAGAACACCAAUUGCGUAGGCAGCUUACUAGACCGUAACUGACGCUGAGGCACGAAAGCGUGGGUAGCGAACAGGAUUAGAUACCCUGGUAGUCC